UCAAUAUUACAGCUUACAGCAUAUCUUGUAAUCCGCCGUGACACACGUGCUACUAUAUAAAAUGAGAAAUGGUACCUAAACACGUGUGGCGUGAUUAAUGCUGAGCCGCAACGAUCUGAAGACCAGAACGAAGCUUGAAAAUUUUCAACUGCAAUGGGCCGUCUGCCUUACGGAUUUUGAUGCGGGUUUCCUUAAUUCAUAGUAUCCUGACGAAGUAGAGCGACGCUGUGAAGGCUGCACAAUCUGCACGAGCUGGGAGCGGUCAAUUGGGAGAACUCCGUGCAGAACAGAAGAUUAUGGCGUACUCUCGUUUCGGAGGCCAAGAUUCACUUUGGGGUCACUGAGCCAGCGUGA